UGCAACCUUUUCAUCCAACACAGCUUUCAAAUUUUCUUUGUGUGGAAAUGAUAGAACAAUGCCAACACCAAAUUGUUUGUCUGUCAGGGCUCUAGUUUCCCGUAUCAACUCCCUUAGAUGGUCAGGUGCCUCCUGGAAAAAUUAGAAAUGUAACCUGAUUUAAAUUGCUAAAAGAACUCGAAAAGAAACUACAAAAUCUCUUCAAAGUAAUUGCGUUACCAGGAAAUAUGUAUAUAUAUUUGUAACAAUAAAUUAUGGAGGGCUUGAAAUUCACGAGGAGGAGCUAAUUCUCCUUUUUAACUUCUUGACGGUGUCAGGAAGCAGAUUUGGUCUUCGUGCCAUCAAUCAUAAGCCCAAAACAUCUACUAUUACUCUUCUAUUUUCUAUAGUUCCAACAUACAGAAGCAAACUAGCAUGAAGACAUGUUAAAUUCGCAGUAACGUGCAAUUUCUGUUCCAAGAUUUACCCAUUCCUGUCUUCCUGGACAAUCGAAUUGCUGUAUACUAUGAUGGAAAAGAAAAUGAUGACAAAAGCAUCGAUUACAGCAAAAAAAGAGACGCUUUUGGUGAUAAGUUCCAAGAACUUGUUCCACAUAAUGAACGUGCAAAUAUGCGAUUUUAGGACGAACGAUUAGAGAAGAGGGGAGGAGGUACCCAGUCGGGGGCUCGGAGGAUACCGAUGGCCCCGGCGUUGGCGACGGCAGCUACGAGUUCCGGACCGGAGACGUCGGGGCCGAGGGGUCCCUGCACGACGCCGUAAUCGAAGCCGAGUAUGCCUUUCCACCCCAUCGAAACCAGCGUG
rnacentral:lncRNA from 1 species